UACAGAGGGUGCAAGCGUUAAUCGGAAUUACUGGGCGUAAAGCGCGCGUAGGCGGCUAAGUAAGUCGGGUGUGAAAGCCCCGGGCUCAACCUGGGAACUGCAUUCGAUACUGUUUGGCUAGAGUAUGAGAGAGGGAGGUAGAAUUCCACGUGUAGCGGUGAAAUGCGUAGAUAUGUGGAGGAAUACCGGUGGCGAAGGCGGCCUCCUGGCUCAAUACUGACGCUGAGGUGCGAAAGCGUGGGGAGCAAACAGG
rnacentral:rRNA from 1 species